CCUCAAACUGUCCCCUGGGUCUUUCGGGGCCGUUCUGUGGGGGACCAUGGUGCUACAUGAAACAGUACAAAAACUACACUGAACUACGUAAAAACAACACAGAAAAAAACUACACUGGACUCAGAUCUACCCAAGACUGCAUAAAGUGCACAAAAUAGUGCAGGUUCUCUCUGUUGCAACAUUACAUAGUACAUGAACUGUUCACAACCAGGUUUUAAAGGAACAUGCCACUGCCCAAGCAACAUUUUGCCAAUACAACAGAGUGUUGCUAGUGAGUCAGUGGAUUUGGAAGAAUGAGUACGCCUAGAGCGAGCAGAGAAACUGAACACAUCUCAGAAGAGCAGUGUCAACAUGAGGACCAGAGAAACCAUGGAAGAUCACAGAAGCCAAUAAACAGGUGCUGUUGGUGGAAGGUUGUCAGGGGAUGCCUCUGUAAAGAAUAUGCCUGUAGUUGAUGACCACACACACACGGAAAAGCCAGAAAAAUCCAAUGAUUGUUCAGCCCACAUCUGUGAGGUGAAUGUAAUCAAAUCUAAUCAUUAUGGUUUUAUGAAUGGUAAAUCGUGUUUGACAAACUUAAGGAUGUAAGAGGUAAUAGAGGGGAACCCAUAAAUAUAAAAUAUUUAGAUUUCCAAAUGGUAUUUGACAAGUGCAUGAUGGACUAUUUCAGUGUUGCACUGUAAACGGUGAUUUGGAUUGAAUCCUUUUCAGGCUGGAUGUACUGUAACCUGCAGAAUAUGCAGGGUUGAGUCUUGGCCCUCAAUUGUUUACUAUUGACAUUAAUGACCUGGAAGAAGAAAUGAAAUGCAAGGUUUCCAAGUUAACCAAUGGUACAAAAAUAGGUGGUGUUGAGGACAUUGUUUUUCUGCAUAGUUGGAGUGAUUGGGUGAAAAUCUGACAAAUGACAUUUAAUGUGGAGAAGUGUGAGACCAAUGAACUUCAGUAAGAAAAGUCAAAAGGCAGAUUACUACCUUGAGCAGAGAUUCCCACCCUUUUUUAUGCAAUGGACCCCCACCAUAGACCCUAGGUCUGGAUACCCCCGGGAAAGAAUGGAAGUGGUAAAGUACCGAGUGAUCUAGAUGUAUAAAUCACAACAGGUUAGCAGGCAGAUUCAGCCAGCAGUUAAGAAGACAAAUGGGAACUUGGCUCUUAUUGCAAAGGGAUUGGAGUUUAAAAUUAGGGAGAUUUUGUCACAGUUGUAUAGGUAUUGGUGAGUCCUCACCUGGAACACUAUGCUGGUUUUUGUCACCUUGUACCAAAGGAUGUUAUCCAAAAGAGAUUUACUAUGCAAACAAGACUAGAGAGUUUGGAUCUGUAUUCCUUGGAGUUUAGAUAAAUGAGGGGUUACCUUGUUUGAGUAUACGAGGUCCUAAGUGUGCAUUACUGUGAUAUUCUGGUGCUGCUGCAACUUAUUUUCUGUGACUUAUCUAUUUAAUACUGUUUUUCUAUUACUGUCUUGUUUUUAUCUACUGCUUUGUUUGAUUGCCUGAGAGGAAGCCAAACAGAGUUUCAUUGUACCUGUUUCAAUUCAAUUCAAAAGUGUACUUGACAUGGCAGAUGCAGUGAUGUUCUCAACAGAUGGAGAGUCACAGACAACAGGAUAUAGUUACAAAAUGUGGGCUGGUCAUUUAAAACCUGUUUUAUCAGAGGACAGUGAAUCUGUGGAAUACUCUGCCCUUGAGGAUGAUGGGGGCUACACCAUGAGAUAUUUUUAAGGUGAAGAUAGAGAAAAGAAAGAUUGAGGAAUUGAAGGUUGAUAGCAGCAUAGAUCAAACAUAAUCAUAUUACAUUGUGGGGCUGGAUUGAGGAGCUGGGUAACCUAAUCCUGCUCCUUUUUUCCCAGAGUUUUUAAUGAGGACAAAUCUCCUCUCCUUGAGUAUGGAGAGUGAGUGUCUUUCCCCAGCGUGGCAGUGGAAAGCACACUGUCCACACACAUCCCCACUUUUCACCCUGACAUGGAGAGAGUUUAGUGAUGAAGCAGCUGUCAGUUGAAUAGGGAUACAUCAUUGAGAAACUCCACUAAAAAUGGUUGAGAUGAUUUAUUCCAACAGUUAUAACCAGCUUCAUUUCUGACAAUAAAGACGUUUGUUGGAAAAGGGUUCUCUGAUUUUGAUUGCACUUGCAUCUUCUAUUUCAAUCAUGGAACCAUUUGUGCUACCUCUCAAAAUUCUGGCAUAACUUGAAUGUCUUUGUUAAUGGCUCAAAGUGAAGACAAUGGGUAACAGUGUCAGAAUGAAGGAUCCAACCUUUUAUUGGAUCCAAUCCCAGUAACAAAUGGUUAUCAUCUUAUUAAAAUCUCCUAUGUUUUGUGAAGUAAUCC